CUACCACCAUCCUCUUGGCCCGUGAAGCCGACCUGCCUCUCUGCACUGGACACAUGCUUGAGCUCUCGCCACACACUUGUUCAUGGGCGCUGCAAGAGGAGGGACCCACAGAGCUGGAGCCGGGAGGGCUGGCACAUUGGACUGAGGGCUGGCAGAACUCUUAGGGGGAUCUUGCCAUCCCACAACCCCAUGUCUGGCUCCAGGAGAAUUCCGUUAGUGAAGUGAUUGCACUUAAAACCCAAAAUUAACUCGAACUGAAUGUUACUGAAAAUGAAAUAGAUUAAAGUGCCCCGCUCCUGCUUCAUCCGCAGUCAUUAUGAAGGAGAUCCACCGUCUGACCUAGCUUUGGGAGAGCGGGUCUGUAUCCACAUGCCCCCUGGUCACAGAGGUCUCCGUGAUCAUCCUCAUGCCCAGAUGCCACUCUCGAUCCCCUUCACAAGCUUCUCUUUUUAUAAGAGCACUCACCUCCAGAGCAGUGAUACAGUUACGUGUUGGUCACUGUCUUGUCUCCUACGAGAAUGGAAGCUCCACGAGGGCAGGACCUCCAUCCUGUUCAUCCUCAUGUUUCCAGGGCCUGGCACCGUGUACAGUCUAAAUAAAUGCUGCUGAGUGAAUGAAUGGA